AGUGAACGCUGGCGGUAGGCCUAAUACAUGCAAGUCGAACGGCAGCACAGUAAGCGCUUGCUCUUACGGGUGGCGAGUGGCGGACGGGUGAGGAAUACAUCGGCAUCUACUUUUACGUGGGGGAUAACGUAGGGAAGCAUAUGCUAAUACCGCAUAUGACCUACGGCUGAGAGCAGGGGAGCUUCGGACUUUGGGCGAUUGAAUGAGCCGAUGCUGCAUUAGCUAGUUGGCAAGGUAACGGCUCACCAAGGCAACGAUCCGUAGCCGAUCUGAGAGGAUGAUCGGCCACACUGGAACUGAGACACGGUCCAGACUCCUACGGGAGGCAGCAGUAGGGAAUCUUCCGCAAUGGGCGAAAGCCUGACGGAGCAACGCCGCGUGAGUGAUGAAGGCCUUCGGAUCGUAAAACUCUGUUAUUAGGGAAGAAAAUAUGUGUAAGUAACUGUGCACAUCUUGACGGUACCUAAUCAGAAAGCCACGGCUAACUACGUG
rnacentral:rRNA from 1 species